GUCUAUAGCUUUACCACCCAGAAUGGCCAGAUCUCCUCUGAUCUCUGAAGCUAAAGUGGUUGGGCCUAAUUAGUAGUUGGGUGGGAGACUGCCUAGGAAUACCAGAUGCUGUGGGCU
rnacentral:rRNA from 1 species